AGUGGGGAAUCUUGGACAAUGGGCGCAAGCCUGAUCCAGCCAUGCCGCGUGAGUGAAGAAGGCCCUAGGGUUGUAAAGCUCUUUCGGCGGGGACGAUAAUGACGGUACCCGCAGAAGAAGCCCCGGCUAACUCCGUGCCAGCAGCCGCGGUAAUACGGAGGGGGCUAGCGUUGUUCGGAAUUACUGGGCGUAAAGCGCACGUAGGCGGACUGUUAAGUCGGGGGUGAAAUCCUGGGGCUCAACCUCAGAAUUGCCUCCGAUACUGGCAGUCUCGAGUGCGGGAGAGGUGAGUGGAAUUCCCAGUGUAGAGGUGAAAUUCGUAGAUAUUGGGAAGAACACCAGUGGCGAAGGCGGCUCACUGGCCCGUAACUGACGCUGAGGUGCGAAAGCGUGGGGAGCAAA
rnacentral:rRNA from 1 species